rnacentral:tRNA from 9 species
GCACCCGUAGCUCAACGGAUAGAGCAUCUGACUACGGAUCAGAAGGUUAGGGGUUCGAAUCCCUUCGGGUGCGCCC